GACGAACGCUGGCGGCGUGCUUAACACAUGCAAGUCGAACGGAAAGGCCCUGCUUUUGUGGGGUGCUCGAGUGGCGAACGGGUGAGUAACAUGUGAGUAACCUGCCCUUGACUUUGGGAUAACUUCAGGAAACUGGGGCUAAUACCGGAUAGGAGCUCCUGCUGCAUGGUGGGGGUUGGAAAGUUUCGGCGGUUGGGGAUGGACUCGCGGCUUAUCAGCUUGUUGGUGGGGUAGUGGCUUACCAAGGCUUUGACGGGUAGCCGGCCUGAGAGGGUGACCGGCGACAUUGGGACUGAGAUACGGACCAGACUCCUACGGGAGGCAGCAGUGGGGAAUAUUGCACAAUGGGCGGAAGCCUGAUGCAGCAACGCCGCGUGCGGGAUGACGGCCUUCGGGUUGUAAACCGCUUUCGCCUGUGACGAAGCGUGAGUGACGGUAAUGGGUAAAGAAGCACCGGCUAACUACGUG
rnacentral:rRNA from 1 species